GAUUAAGGUCUCCGUAGGUGAACCUGCGGAAGGAUCAUUACCGAGUGAGGGCCCUCUGGGUCCAACCUCCCACCCGUGUCUAUCGUACCUUGUUGCUUCGGCGGGCCCGCCGUUUCGACGGCCGCCGGGGAGGCCUCGCGCCCCCGGGCCCGCGCCCGCCGAAGACCCCAACAUGAACGCUGUUCUGAAAGUAUGCAGUCUGAGUUGAUUAUCAUAAUCAGUUAAAACUUUCAACAACGGAUCUCUUGGUUCCGGCAUCGAUGAAGAACGCAGCGAAAUGCGAUAAGUAAUGUGAAUUGCAGAAUUCAGUGAAUCAUCGGGUCUUUGAACGCACAUUGCGCCCCCUGGUAUUCCGGGGGGCAUGCCUGUCCGAGCGUCAUUGCUGCCCUCAAGCACGGCUUGUGUGUUGGGCCCCGUCCCCUCCCCCGGGGACGGGCCCGAAAGGCAGCGGCGGCACCGCGUCCGAUCCUCGAGCGUAUGGGGCUUUGUCACCCGCUCUGUAGGCCCGGCCGGCGCCAGCCGACACCCAACUUUUAUUUCUAAGGUUGACCUCGGAUCAGGUAGGGAUACAAUC
rnacentral:rRNA from 1 species